rnacentral:rRNA from 1 species
CCUACGGGAGGCAGCAGUGAGGAAUAUUGGUCAAUGGAGGCAACUCUGAACCAGCCAUGCCGCGUGCAGGAAGACGGCUCUAUGAGUUGUAAACUGCUUUUGUACGGGGGUAAAUUGAGUUACGUGUGUCUGAUUGCAAGUAUCGCACGAAUACGGAUCGGCUAAUUCCGUGCCAGCAGCCGCGGUAAUACGGAGGAUCCAGGCGUUAUCCGGAUUUAUUGGGUGUAAAGGGUGCGUAGGCGGUUCCUUAAGCUAGAGGUGAAAUCCCGGGGCUCAACGCUGGCACUGCGGCUGAUACUGUAGGGCUAGAGUGCAGUUGAGGUAGGCGGAAUGCAUGGUGUAGCGGUGAAAUGCAUAGAUAUCAUAAAGAACACCGAUUGCGAAGGCAGCUUACCAAACUGCGACUGACGUUGAGGCACGAAAGCGUGGGGAGCAAACAGGAUUAGAUACCCCUGUAGUC